rnacentral:rRNA from 1 species
GUAUUUUGUUGAUGAAAUGUGACUGGCUAGACGACGCUGGCGGCGUGCUUAACACAUGCAAGUCGAGUGCGCGUUCCGUAGCAAUACGGAAUGGCGCACGGCGCACGGGUGCGUAACACGUGGGUAACCUGCCCUUUGGUGGGGAAUAACUCCGCGAAAGCGGAGCUAAUUCCGCAUAAGAUCCGCAAGGAUGAAAGCCGAAAGGCGCCGAUGGAGGGGCCCGCGCCCGAUUAGCUAGUUGGUAGGGUAAUGGCCUACCAAGGCUUUGAUCGGUAGCUGGUCUGAGAGGAUGAUCAGCCACACUGGAACUGAGACACGGUCCAGACUCCUACGGGAGGCAGCAGUGGGGAAUCUUGCACAAUGGGCGAAAGCCUGAUGCAGCGACGCCGCGUGGGGGAUGAAGCAUUUCGGUGUGUAAACCCCUUUCGAUCCGGACGAAACCCCGCAAGGGAUUGACGGUACGGAUAUAAGAAGCCCCGGCUAACUACGUGCCAGCAGCCGCGGUAAGACGUAGGGGGCCAGCGUUGUUCGGAAUUACUGGGUGUAAAGGGUUCGUAGGCGGUGCGGCAAGUUGGGAGUGAAAUCUCUGGGCUUAACCCAGAGGCUGCUUCCAAAACUGCUGUGCUUGAGUGUGGGAGAGGCGCGUGGAAUUGCACGUGU